AGGGGAUAGCCCGAGGAAACUCGGAUUAAUACCGUAUACCUCCUUCGGGAGAAAGAAGGCCUCUCUUUGAAGCUUUCGCUACUAGAUCAGCCUGCGUAAGAUUAGCUUGUUGGUGAGGUAAUGGCUCACCAAGGCUACGAUCUUUAGCUGGUCUGAGAGGACGAUCAGCCACAUUGGGACUGAGACACGGCCCAGACUCCUACGGGAGGCAGCAGUGGGGAAUAUUGGACAAUGGGCGCAAGCCUGAUCCAGCCAUACCGCGUGUGUGAAGAAGGCCUUCGGGUUGUAAAGCACUUUAAGCAGGGAGAAAAAAAUAUAGGUUAAUACCCUAUGUUCUUGAUGUUACCUGCAGAAUAAGCACCGGCU
rnacentral:rRNA from 1 species